rnacentral:rRNA from 1 species
CUACGGGAGGCAGCAGUGGGGAAUUUUGGACAAUGGGGGCAACCCUGAUCCAGCCAUGCCGCGUGUGUGAAGAAGGCCUUCGGGUUGUAAAGCACUUUCGGCCGGAACGAAAUCGCGCGGGUGAACAUCCCGCGUGGAUGACGGUACCGGAAGAAGAAGCACCGGCUAACUACGUGCCAGCAGCCGCGGUAAUACGUAGGGUGCGAGCGUUAAUCGGAAUUACUGGGCGUAAAGCGUGCGCAGGCGGCGUCGCAAGUCAGGCGUGAAAUCCCCGGGCUUAACCUGGGAAUGGCGCUUGAAACUACGAUGCUGGAGUAUGGCAGAGGGAGGUGGAAUUCCACGUGUAGCGGUGAAAUGCGUAGAUAUGUGGAGGAACACCGAUGGCGAAGGCAGCCUCCUGGGCCAAUACUGACGCUCAUGCACGAAAGCGUGGGGAGCAAACAGGAUUAGAAACCCCUGUAGUCC